GCCCUGUGGUGUAUUAUCAUGUUGAAUUGCAAAUUCAAAGAAGCAGCUUUGACGCUGCCGGGGCUU
rnacentral:tRNA from 1 species